CAAAAAGAAGAUGAAAAAGAGAAACUACUCCAGCAUCAAAGAAAAAAGUACAAGGAAUUAGAAUGCACAACAUAGUUAAGUGGAACACAUUCACACUGAAAAAAAAAAAAGAAAAAAGUAAUUGUGUCAAAUUUCAAAGCAGAUAAGAACACAUUGACAAUUCCAAGUCAUUUGAGUCCUCAAGAAUCACUUAGUGCUAGGAAAAAAGCCUUUCAAUCCAAGGGGUUGCUACAGGACUAUCAGGCUACUCACUCAGUGGUCAUUCUGUGAUGUUGAUGGUGCUAAUGGUUGGUAUGAAAUUGUAUGGUAAUUUUAUUUCACUCUUGAAACUCUUUGGUUCUGUAUUCUGGGAAAAUAAAAAAUAGAUCAGAUGUCAGAUGUAUUUCAUGCUUGAUAAACUACAAUGCCUAAUAGAAAUAGGAAAAAGAGAAUUUUCAUGAUGGUUUACAUAAAGCAUCUUUCCAAUUUCUGUAGUUUAUUUUUCCUUUCUGAAAAUUAUGAGAUAAGAUAUCUGAAUAGAAUUUAAAAUGAAAUUUUGUUGGGAAUAGAUCUUAUUCAGCAAACUACAUUAAAAAAAAUAAAAUCAACUGAACUGUAUAUAAAGUUAGAGGUGUACAUAAAGUUAGAGGUGUUGAUCGAUCCAAAAAAAAAAAAAGUACUUAAUUUCAUGUCUUUUCUUCCAAUACAAGAUUUUAUAUGCUAAUCCUCCAGCUCUUGAUGCCUGGGGAAAAUAAAUAAAUAAAUAAAACAGAAGAGUCAGACUACUUUGUGUUAAGAUAGUAUUUUCAUUUCUCUGACAUGUUUUGUUUCUCUUGUUAUUUGUUCCUAAGGAGUCAUAUCCCACAUGAGAUGUCCAAGUGUUUCAGGAGACAACAAACCAAAGUUUAUCCGUCAAAUAAAAAAAAAAAAGGCUUAUUUAACAGAAAUAAUGAAUCAGAUUUAUUCAAGCAAAACCUCAAAUAUCUAAAGCAGUUAUGAUCAAUAGUUCCCUAGGUCUCACUCAUAUGUCCCUCUUCAGGAACAUACCUUUUUUUUUUUUUUUUUUGCCGACAGUUUCUUGCUGUACUUAUGACAAAAUAAAACCUCAUUGUAUGAUU